rnacentral:rRNA from 1 species
CGGGGGGAGCAAGCGUUGUUCGGAUUUACUGGGCGUAAAGGGCGCGUAGGCGGCGCAACAAGUCACUUGUGAAAUCUCCGGGCUUAACCCGGAGCGGCCAAGUGAUACUGUCGUGCUAGAGUGCGGAAGGGGCUACUGGAAUUCUCGGUGUAGCGGUGAAAUGCGUAGAUAUCGAGAGGAACACCUGCGGCGAAGGCGGGUAGCUGGGCCGACACUGACGCUGAGGCGCGAAAGCCAGGGGAGCGAACGGGAUUAGAUACCCCGGUAGUCCUGGCCUUAAACGAUGGAUGCUUGGUGUCCGGGGUUACAUAGUCCCCGGGUGCCGGCGCUAACGCAUUAAGCAUCCCGCCUGGGGAGUACGGUCGCAGGACUG